rnacentral:rRNA from 1 species
UACGUAGGGUGCAAGCGUUGUCCGGAAUUAUUGGGCGUAAAGAGCUCGUAGGCGGUCUGUCGCGUCGGACGUGAAAAUCAGGGCUCAACCCUGGACCUGCGUUCGAUACGGGCAGACUAGAGUUCGGUAGGGGAGACUGGAAUUCCUGGUGUAGCGGUGAAAUGCGUAGAUAUCUGGAGGACACCGGUGGCGAAGGCGGCAUUCUGGACCGAAACUGACGCUGGCGCG